rnacentral:rRNA from 1 species
GACGAACGCUGGCGGCGUGCUUAACACAUGCAAGUCGAGCGAUGAAGCUUCUUCGGAAGUGGAUUAGCGGCGGACGGGUGAGUAACACGUGGGUAACCUGCCUUAUAGUGGGGAAUAGCCUUUCGAAAGGAAGAUUAAUACCCCAUAAGAUUGUAGUUUCGCAUGAAACAGCAAUUAAAGGAGCAAUUCGCUAUAAGAUGGACCCGCGGCGCAUUAGCUAGUUGGUGAGGUAACGGCUCACCAAGGCGACGAUGCGUAGCCGACCUGAGAGGGUGAUCGGCCACAUUGGGACUGAGACACGGCCCAGACUCCUACGGGAGGCAGCAGUGGGGAAUAUUGCACAAUGGGGGAAACCCUGAUGCAGCAACGCCGCGUGAGUGAUGACGGUCUUCGGAUUGUAAAGCUCUGUCUUUAGGGACGAUAAUGACGGUACCUAAGGAGGAAGCCACGGCUAACUACGUGC